rnacentral:misc_RNA from 1 species
GAGCUAAGGUUCUGGGAAGGCUACUUUGACAAUCUCAUGGAGCAUUCUUCAAGCAAGUCAACCAAUUAUGCAGCUUUAGUCACAACACAACUAAUUCUCUUGGCAUCUCACAUGGCUGCAUUGGGACUUCCUGAUACUGAUGCUUGGUACGUGGUUGAGACUAUAGCAGAGAGGAACAAUAUUGGAUACAAGCAGCUUAUAAAACUUAGAGGAUUUUUGUCACAUAUACAAGUCCGUAUUGGUUACUGGGGAACCACUUCUGUUAAGGCCCAAUCUAUGUCAUCU